GGCAUUGCGGCAGCUACCAUGCAGUCGAACGAUGGAUAGACAGCUUGCUGGGUGGAUUAGUGGCGAACGGGUGAGUAACACGUGAGUAACCUGCCCUUAACUCUGGGAUAAGCCUGGGAAACUGGGUCUAAUACCGGAUAGGAGCGCCUACCGCAUGGUGGGUGUUGGAAAGAUUUAUCGGUUUUGGAUGGACUCGCGGCCUAUCAGCUUGUUGGUGAGGUAAUGGCUCACCAAGGCGACGACGGGUAGCCGGCCUGAGAGGGUGACCGGCCACACUGGGACUGAGACACGGCCCAGACUCCUACGGGAGGCAGCAGUGGGGAAUAUUGCACAAUGGGCGCAAGCCUGAUGCAGCGACGCCGCGUGAGGGAUGACGGCCUUCGGGUUGUAAACCUCUUUCAGUAGGGAAGAAGCGAAAGUGACGGUACCUGCAGAAGAAGCACCGGCUAACUACGUGCCAGCAGCCGCGGUAAUACGUAGGGUGCGAGCGUUAUCCGGAAUUAUUGGGCGUAAAGAGCUCGUAGGCGGUUUGUCGCGUCUGUCGUGAAAGUCCGGGGCUUAACCCCGGAUCUGCGGUGGGUACGGGCAGACUAGAGUGCAGUAGGGGAGACUGGAAUUCCUGGUGUAGCGGUGGAAUGCGCAGAUAUCAGGAGGAACACCGAUGGCGAAGGCAGGUCUCUGGGCUGUAACUGACGCUGAGGAGCGAAAGCAUGGGGAGCGAACAGGAUUAGAUACCCUGGUAGUCCAUGCCGUAAACGUUGGGCACUAGGUGUGGGGACCAUUCCACGGUUUCCGCGCCGCAGCUAACGCAUUAAGUGCCCCGCCUGGGGAGUACGGCCGCAAGGCUAAAACUCAAAGGAA
rnacentral:rRNA from 1 species